rnacentral:rRNA from 1 species
GGUUUUUUGAAUUAAUAUGAAAAAUCUGACCUGCCCAAUGAUAAUUAAAUGGCCGCGGUAUUUUGACCGUGCGAAGGUAGCAUAAUCAUUAGUCUUUUAAUUGGGGACUGGAAUGAAUGGUUGGACGUGAUAAUAACUUUUUUAGUUAUAAUUAUUGAAUUUUACUUUUUGGUGAAGAGGCCAAAAUUUGACCAAAAGACAAGAAGACCCUGUUAAGUUUUAUUAUUAUUAGGCUUCGUAUUAGAGGAAAUGGGAGAGUUUAGUUUAAUUUUGCUGGGGCGGCAAGCUAUAACUAGCUAUAGAUCCAUAAUUUGUGAUUGUUUGAUUAAAUUACUAUAGGGAUAACAGCGUAAUCUUAUUUGAGAGUUCGUAUCGACAAUAAGGGUUGCGACCUCGAUGUUGGAUUAGAAUACCUUUUUGGGGCAGAGCCUAAAAGUGGUGGUCUGUUCGACCAUAGAAAUUCUACA